rnacentral:rRNA from 1 species
AUUGAACGCUGGCGGCAUGCCUUACACAUGCAAGUCGAACGGCAGCACGGGAGCAAUCCUGGUGGCGAGUGGCGAACGGGUGAGUAAUAUAUCGGAACGUGCCCAGUCGUGGGGGAUAACGUAGCGAAAGCUACGCUAAUACCGCAUACGAUCUACGGAUGAAAGCGGGGGAUCGCAAGACCUCGCGCGAUUGGAGCGGCCGAUAUCAGAUUAGGUAGUUGGCGAGGUAAAGGCUCACCAAGCCGACGAUCUGUAGCUGGUCUGAGAGGACGACCAGCCACACUGGGACUGAGACACGGCCCAGACUCCUACGGGAGGCAGCAGUGGGGAAUUUUGGACAAUGGGCGCAAGCCUGAUCCAGCCAUGCCGCGUGCAGGAUGACGGUCCUAUGGAUUGUAAACUGCUUUUGUACAGGAAGAAUUAAUGACGGUACUAUUUAUAAGGUCCGGCUAACUACGUGCCAGCAGCCGCGGUAAAG